rnacentral:rRNA from 1 species
AUUGAACGCUGGCGGCAGGCCUAACACAUGCAAGUCGAACGGUAACAGGAAACAGCUUGCUGUUUCGCUGACGAGUGGCGGACGGGUGAGUAAUGUCUGGGAAACUGCCUGAUGGAGGGGGAUAACUACUGGAAACGGUAGCUAAUACCGCAUAACGUCGCAAGACCAAAGAGGGGGACCUUCGGGCCUCUUGCCAUCGUAUGUGCCCAGAUGGGAUUAGCUAGUAGGUGGGGUAACGGCUCACCUAGGCGACGAUCCCUAGCUGGUCUGAGAGGAUGACCAGCCACACUGGAACUGAGACACGGUCCAGACUCCUACGGGAGGCAGCAGUGGGGAAUAUUGCACAAUGGGCGCAAGCCUGAUGCAGCCAUGCCGCGUGUAUGAAGAAGGCCUUCGGGUUGUAAAGUACUUUCAGCGGGGAGGAAGGGAGUAAAGUUAAUACCUUUGCGCAUUGACGGUACCCGCAGAAGAAGCACCGGCUAACUCCGUG